rnacentral:snRNA from 1 species
AGCUUCGCAUAGUGGCAGUAUUGCAGCCAAUGAGGUUUAUCCGAGACGAGGCUAUUGCUAAUAGAAGACUCUUACCAAAAGUGUACCUUUGGAAUUCAGAUGAGACAAAAUGGUCAUGUCUUCCUCCAUAACCCCCAUUUCAAGGGG